GCGAAUGGCUCAUUAAAUCAGCUAUGGUUUAUUGGAUCAUACCCGUUAAAUGGAUAACUGUAAUAACUCUAGAGCUAAUACAUGCCACGAAGCCCUGACCCUUACGGGGAUGGGUGCACUUAUUAGAUCAGAAGCCAACCGUGUGUGGCCGCAAGGCUGUGCAUGUUGUCCUUCUGGUGACUCUGGAUAAUUGUUACAGAUCGCAGUCGGCCUUGAGUCGGCGACGGGUCCUUCAAAUGUCUGCCCUAUCAACUUUCGAUGGUAGGUGACCUGCCUACCAUGGUGAUAACGGGUAACGGGGAAUCAGGGUUCGAUUCCGGAGAGGGAGCCUGAGAAACGGCUACCACUUCCAAGGGAGGCAGCAGGCGCGCAAAUUACCCACUCCCAGUACGGGGAGGUGGUGACGAAAAAUACCGAUGCGGGACUCCUUAAAGAGGCUCCGUAAUCGGAAUGAGUGAACUAUAAAUCCUUUCACGAGGAUCAAUUGGAGGGCAAGUCUGGUGCCAGCAGCCGCGGUAACUCCAGCUCCAAUAGCGUAUAUUAAAGUUGCUGCAGUUAAAAAGCUCGUAGUUGGAUCUCGGUAUCACUGUUGCCUACUGGUUUUUGGGCGGGUGCUUGUCGGUGCAUAGGCUCUGCUUGUGCUACCAUAGGUGUCUGUUUCAAGCCGGUGCGGUGGCGGUGUCACCUUUCAGCCAUGUCUGUGGUGAAAUACCCGCAGGUGUAGGCGAGUGUCAGGCGGUGCUCUGCGUCAGUAGGGUUCGUCGGCUCGUUUGCAUGCCUUUGGAUGCCCUUCAAAAGGUGUCUGUGGGCGGAUGGCACGUUUACUUUGAACAAAUUUGAGUGCUCAAACCAGGCCGAUGUUGCCUGAAAAGUUUUGCAUGGAAUAAUGGAAUAGGACUUCGGUUCUAUUUCGUUGGUUUUCGGAUCCGAAGUAAUGAUCAAAAGAGACAGGCGGGGACGUUUGUAUGGCUGCGCUAGAGGUGAAAUUCAUGGACCGUAGCCAGACAAACUAAAGCGAAAGCAUUCGUCAAGCAUGUUUUCAUUGGCCAUGAGCGAAAGUCAGAGGCUCGAAGACGAUCAGAUACCGUCCUAGUUCUGACCAUAAACGAUGCCAACUGACGAUCCGUGGUGGUAGUCUAUCAACCUUCCCCACGGGCAGUCCCCGGGAAACCUUUAAGUCUUUGGGUUCCGGGGGAAGUAUGGUUGCAAAGCUGAAACUUAAAGGAAUUGACGGAAGGGCACCACCAGGAGUGGAGCCUGCGGCUUAAUUUGACUCAACACGGGAAAACUCACCCGGCCCGGACACUAUGAGGAUUGACAGAUUGAUAGCUCUUUCUUGAUUUGGUGGUUGGUGGUGCAUGGCCGUUCUUAGUUGGUGGAGCGAUUUGUCUGGUUAAUUCCGAUAACGAACGAGACUCCAGCCUGCUAAUUAGUGCAUCUGUCCACUGUUCCUGUGUAGGCGGCGUUCGGCAAGGUUGCUCCUGUUUGCUGCCUUGGGGUUGGUCGGCCUUCGGGUUGGUUGGCUUCUUGGUGGUUGGGAUGCGGCUGGUCCAGCGUUAGCUUCCGGGUACGGCGCGGGUGUCUACUUCUUAGAGGGACAAGCGGGAGAAGCCGCACGAAAUUGAGCAAUAACAGGUCUGUGAUGCCCUUAGAUGUCCGGGGCCGCACGCGCGCUACAAUGACGGUGCCAACGAGUCUGACCUUCUGGCCCGAAAGGGUUGGGCAAACUGGUCAAUCACCGUCAUGACAGGGAUCGGGGCUUGGAAUUGUUCCCCGUGAACGAGGAAUUCCUAGUAAGUGCAAGUCAUAAGCUUGCGCUGAUUACGUCCCUGCCCUUUGUACACACCGCCCGUCGCUACUACCGAUUGAAUGGUUUAGUAAGGUCCUUGGAUUGGCGCCAUUGUGGUGGUUAUCGAAAGGUGGCUACCCGACAGGUGCUGAGAAGACGACCAAACUUGAUCAUUUAGAGGAAGUAAAAGUCGUAACAAG
rnacentral:rRNA from 1 species